UGGGGAAGAAGAGCACAUGAA
rnacentral:miRNA from 1 species